GUCGCAAGAUUAAAACUCAAAGGAAUUGACGGGGACCCCGCCCAAGCGGUGGAUGAUGUGGAUUAAUUCGAUGCAACGCGAAAAACCUUACCUACCCUUGACAUGGAAGGAAUCCUGGAGAGAUCUGGGAGUGCCCGAAAGGGAACCUUCACACAGGUGCUGCAUGGCUGUCGUCAGCUCGUGUCGUGAGAUGUUGGGUUAAGUCCCGCAACGAGCGCAACCCUUGUCAUUAGUUGCUACGCAAGAGCACUCUAAUGAGACUGCCGGUGACAAACCGGAGGAAGGUGGGGAUGACGUCAAGUCCUCAUGGCCCUUAUGGGUAGGGCUUCACACGUCAUACAAUGGUACAUACAGAGGGCCGCCAACCCGCGAGGGGGAGCUAAUCCCAGAAAGUGUAUCGUAGUCCGGAUUGUAGUCUGCAACUCGACUACAUGAAGUUGGAAUCGCUAGUAAUCGCGGAUCAGCAUGUCGCGGUGAAUACGUUCCCGGGUCUUGUACACACCGCCCGUCACACCAUGGGAGCGGGUUUUACCAGAAGUAGGUAGCUUAACCGCAAGGAGGGCGCUUACCACGGUAGGAUUCGUGACUGGGGGAAGUCGAACAAGGAGCCGUCGA
rnacentral:rRNA from 1 species